AAAAAGAUAAGCUAACAAAGCUACUAGGUUCAUACCCUAGACAUAAAGGUUUUAAUCCUUUUUUUUUUA
rnacentral:tRNA from 1 species